UUAGGUGACUUGCUACUGUGGCUCACCAUGCUCUGGGCAGGCUGCUCCAGGGUACUGGGAAAUUACCUUCAGGAGCCUGAGCUGAUGGAGAGCCUGAGUUCACCCUGAACCUGGCCUGGUUCUUUCUGGGUGCCUCUGGCUGGUAUUUCACAGAGGUGGUUCUGAAGGAUUAGGAUUGUCCUGUCUGAGAAGGAAACAGGCUGAGAGGAUCCCCUGGGGCUGUUCAGCAAGGCAGCAGCAGGCUGGUGUAGAAGCUGUCUCUCCUCCAAGAAUCCUGUAUGGACAAGACAAGCUUCUCCCUCACCCAUGGCUCCUGCUGUCUCUAGCUCAUGCUUUUCUUCAGCCUGGUGCAAGUUACCCUCUCUGCCUGCUCUCUGAGCCCACUGCUGUCUGAAACCAGCUGUGCUUGCACAAGGUCUGGGCUGCCUUGAGGACUGCUGGAGAUCUCAGCUGAGACAAGCCACGUGCUGCAGCAAGGAUUCAUUCCAGAGGGAUCCCAAGGUGGAUUUACCACUCCUGCUCCUGUACCACACUAAUGCUCCUGGAGCAGGAGGAGCUGUGCAGGGCAGGAACCAGACUACAGGUGGUGCCUGUGGAAGCCUGAGCACCUUCCUGGUAGGUGCUGGACAGUGAGGAGGGCUUGGGAAGACUUCAACACAGUGAGCUCCAGAUGGCCAGACUGAGUGGUGGAGGAGAUGCUGUGCAUGGACCUCAGCUCUGGUCAGCAUGGAUAGAACUG